rnacentral:rRNA from 1 species
UAAGCGCACAAGGUGGAUGCCUUGGCAAUCAGAGGCGAAGAAGGACGUGCUAAUCUGCGAAAAGCUUGGAUGAGUCGAUAAGAGGCGUUUAAUCCAAGAUGUCCGAAUGGGGAAACCCAGUAGGUGAAGAACCUACUAUCACCCAGUGAAUACAUAGCUGUGUGAGGCAAACCGGGAGAACUGAAACAUCUAAGUACCCCGAGGAAAAGAAAUCAACCGAGAUUUCGUUAGUAGCGGCGAGCGAACGCGAAAGAGCCAGUUAGUGAUAGCAGUAAAGUUAGGGGAAUGUUCUGGGAAGGACAAUCGUAGAGGGUGAUAAUCCCGUACCUUAAAACUCCAUUGUGGUACUAGGCUAACAACAAGUAGGGCGGGACACGUGAUAUCCUGUUUGAAGAUGGGGGGACCAUCCUCCAAGGCUAAAUACUCCUGAUUGACCGAUAGUGAACCAGUACUGUGAAGGAAAGGUGAAAAGAACCCCGGCGAGGGGAGUGAAAUAGAACCUGAAACCUUGUGCGUACAAGCAGUGGGAGC